rnacentral:pre_miRNA from 1 species
ACCACCGGGGGGUCUUGUUAAAAUACAAAAUCUGACUCAGUGAGUCCAAGAUUGGGGCGCAAGAUUCUGCAUUUCUAACAAGCUCCCAGGUGAUGCUCA